AGGGAGCUGACUGCGAGACCUACAAGUCGAGCAGGGACGAAAGUCGGGCUUAGUGAUCCGGUGGUUCCGCAUGGAAGGGCCAUCGCUCAACGGAUAAAAGCUACCCCGGGGAUAACAGGCUUAUCUCCCCCAAGAGUCCACAUCGACGGGGAGGUUUGGCACCUCGAUGUCGGCUCAUCGCAUCCUGGGGCUGUAGUCGGUCCCAAGGGUUGGGCUGUUCGCCCAUUAAAGCGGUACGCGAGCUGGGUUCAGAACGUCGUGAGACAGUUCGGUCCCUAUCCGUCGCGGGCGCAGGAAAUUUGAGAGGAGCUGUCCUUAGUACGAGAGGACCGGGAUGGACGCACCGCUGGUGUACCAGUUGUUCUGCCAAGGGCAUCGCUGGGUAGCUAUGUGCGGACGGGAUAAGUGCUGAAAGCAUCUAAGCAUGAAGCCCCCCUCAAGAUGAGAUUUCCCAUUCCGCAAGGAAGUAAGAUCCCUGAAAGAUGAUCAGGUUGAUAGGUCUGAGGUGGAAGUGUGGCGACACAUGGAGCUGACAGAUACUAAUCGAUCGAGGACUUAACCAC
rnacentral:rRNA from 1 species